rnacentral:misc_RNA from 1 species
AUUCCAUGCAACCAUAUAUAGCUCAUGGGUAGUUACUAUUGAAUAGUGUAGCUGCCAUUUGAAGUGCAGUUUCUCAAACCUAUUAUCAAGUUCGGAAUGAUGCACAAGUGUAUGAGUUUCGAAACAAGGUUCAUGGCAUGAAACAGGGUGAGCUAACUAUUUCUCAAUAUUAUGCAGAAUUAAGUGAUCUAUAGCAAAAACUAGACUUUUAUCAGGACUUUCAGGCC